rnacentral:rRNA from 1 species
GACGAACGCUGGCGGCGUGCUUAACACAUGCAAGUCGAACGGAAAGGCCCUGCUUUUGUGGGGUGCUCGAGUGGCGAACGGGUGAGUAACACGUGAGUAACCUGCCCUUGACUUUGGGAUAACUUCAGGAAACUGGGGCUAAUACCGGAUAGGAGCUCCUGCUGCAUGGUGGGGGUUGGAAAGUUUCGGCGGUUGGGGAUGGACUCGCGGCUUAUCAGCUUGUUGGUGGGGUAGUGGCUUACCAAGGCUUUGACGGGUAGCCGGCCUGAGAGGGUGACCGGCCACAUUGGGACUGAGAUACGGCCCAGACUCCUACGGGAGGCAGGAGUGGGGAAUAUUGCACAAUGGGCGCAAGCCUGAUGCAGCAACGCCGCGUGCGGGAUGACGGCCUUCGGGUUGUAAACCGCUUUCGCCUGUGACGAAGCGUGAGUGACGGUAAUGGGUAAAGAAGCACCGGCUAACUACGUG